rnacentral:rRNA from 1 species
GAUGAACGCUGGCGGCGUGCCUAAUACAUGCAAGUCGAGCGAACGGACGAGAAGCUUGCUUUUCUGAUGUUAGCGGCGGACGGGUGAGUAACACGUGGAUAACCUACCUAUAAGACUGGGAUAACUUCGGGAAACCGGAGCUAAUACCGGAUAAUAUUUUGAACCGCAUGGUUCAAAAGUGAAAGACGGUCUUGCUGUCACUUAUAGAUGGAUCCGCGCUGCAUUAGCUAGUUGGUAAGGUAACGGCUUACCAAGGCAACGAUGCAUAGCCGACCUGAGAGGGUGACCGGCCACACUGGAACUGAGACACGGUCCAGACUCCUACGGGAGGCAGCAGUAGGGAAUCUUCCGCAAUGGGCGAAAGCCUGACGGAGCAACGCCGCGUGAGUGAUGAAGGUCUUCGGAUCGUAAAACUCUGUUAUUAGGGAAGAACAUAUGUGUAAGUAACUGUGCACAUCUUGACGGUACCUAAUCAGAAAGCCACGGCUAACUACGUGCCAGCAGCCGCGGUAAUACGUAGGUGGCAAGCGUUAUCCGGAAUUAUUGGGCGUAAAGCGCGCGUAGGCGGUUUUUUAAGUCUGAUGUGAAAGCCCACGGCUCAACCGUGGAGGGUCAUUGGAAACUGGAAAACUUGAGUGCAGAAGAGGAAAGUGGAAUUCCAUGUGUAGCGGUGAAAUGCGCAGAGAUGUGGAGGAACACCAGUGGCGAAGGCGACUUUCUGGUCUGUAACUGACGCUGAUGUGCGAAAGCGUGGGGAUCAAACAGGAUUAGAUACCCUGGUAGUCCACGCCGUAAACGAUGAGUGCUAAGUGUUAGGGGGUUUCCGCCCCUUAGUGCUGCAGCUAACGCAUUAAGCACUCCGCCUGGGGAGUACGACCGCAAGGUUGAAACUCAAAGGAAUUGACGGGGGCCCGCACAAGCGGUGGAGCAUGUGGUUUAAUUCGAAGCAACGCGAAGAACCUUACCAAAUCUUGACAUCCUUUGACAACUCUAGAGAUAGAGCCUUCCCCUUCGGGGGACAAAGUGACAGGUGGUGCAUGGUUGUCGUCAGCUCGUGUCGUGAGAUGUUGGGUUAAGUCCCGCAACGAGCGCAACCCUUAAGCUUAGUUGCCAUCAUUAAGUUGGGCACUCUAAGUUGACUGCCGGUGACAAACCGGAGGAAGGUGGGGAUGACGUCAAAUCAUCAUGCCCCUUAUGAUUUGGGCUACACACGUGCUACAAUGGACAAUACAAAGGGCAGCGAAACCGCGAGGUCAAGCAAAUCCCAUAAAGUUGUUCUCAGUUCGGAUUGUAGUCUGCAACUCGACUACAUGAAGCUGGAAUCGCUAGUAAUCGUAGAUCAGCAUGCUACGGUGAAUACGUUCCCGGGUCU